UACGAAGGGGGCUAGCGUUGCUCGGAAUCACUGGGCGUAAAGCGCACGUAGGCGGAUUGUUAAGUCAGGGGUGAAAUCCUGGAGCUCAACUCCAGAACUGCCUUUGAUACUGGCGAUCUCGAGUCCGGGAGAGGUGAGUGGAACUCCGAGUGUAGAGGUGAAAUUCGUAGAUAUUCGGAAGAACACCAGUGGCGAAGGCGGCUCACUGGCCCGGUACUGACGCUGAGGUGCGAAAGCGUGGGAGCAACAGGA
rnacentral:rRNA from 1 species